GAUGAACGCUGGCGGCGUGCCUAAUACAUGCAAGUCGAGCGAACAGACGAGGAGCUUGCUCCUCAGACGUUAGCGGCGGACGGGUGAGUAACACGUGGAUAACAUACCUAUAAGACUGGGAUAACUUCGGGAAACCGGAGUUAAUACCGGAUAAUAUAUUGAACCGCAUGGUUUAAUAGUGAAAGACGGUUUUGCUGUCACUUAUAGAUGGAUCCGCGCCGCAUUAGCUAGUUGGUAAGGUAACGGUUUACCAAGGCAACGAUGCGUAGCUGACCGGGGAGGGUGAUCGGCCACACUGGAACUGAGACACGGUCCAGACUCCUACGGGAGGCAGCAGUAGGGAAUCUUCCGCAAUGGGCGAAAGCCUGACGGAGCAACGCCGCGUGAGUGAUGAAGGUCUUCGGAUCGUAAAACUCUGUUAUUAGGGAAGAACAAAUGUGUAAGUAACUAUGCACGUCUUGACGGUACCUAAUCAGAAAGCCACGGCUAACUACGUG
rnacentral:rRNA from 1 species